rnacentral:rRNA from 1 species
GAUGGAGCAACGCCGCGUGAGUGAUGAAGGGUUUCGGCUCGUAAAACUCUGUUGUUGGAGAAGAACAGGUGAUAGAGUAACUGUUAUCAUCUUGGACGGUAUCCAACCAGAAAGCCACGGCUAACUACGUGCCAGCAGCCGCGGUAAUACGUAGGUGGCAAGCGUUGUCCGGCUUUAUUGGGCGUAAAGCGAGCGCAGGCGGUUUUUUAGGUCUGAUGUGAAAGCCUUCGGCUUAACCGGAGAAGGGCAUCGGAAACCGGGAGACUUGGAGUGCAGAAGAGGACAGUGGAACUCCAUGUGUAGUGGUGAAAUGCGUAGAUAUAUGGAAGAACACCAGUGGCGAAGGCGGCUGUCUGGUCUGUAACUGACGCUGAGGCUCGAAAGCAUGGGUAGCGAACAGGAUUAGAUACCCUGGUAGUCCAUGCCGUAAACGAUGAGUGCUAAGUGUUGGAGGGUUUCCGCCCUUCAGUGCUGCAGCUAACGCAUUAAGCACUCCGCCUGGGGAGUACGACCGCAAGGUUGAAACUCAAAGGAAUUGACGGGGGCCCGCACAAGCGGUGGAGCAUGUGGUUUAAUUCGAUGCUACGCGA